UACGAAGGGGGCUAGCGUUGCUCGGAAUCACUGGGCUUAAAGGGCGCGUAGGCGGGUGCUCAAGUCCGGGGUGAAAUCCCACAGCUCAACUGUGGAACUGCCUCGGAUACUGGGCGUCUCGAGUGUGGUAGGGGUAUGCGGAACUAUCGGUGGAGCGGUGAAAUGCGUUGAUAUCGAUAGGAACUCCGGUGGCGAAGGCGGCAUACUGGACCACCACUGACGCUGAUGCGCGAAAGCCAGGGGAGCAAACGGG
rnacentral:rRNA from 1 species